rnacentral:rRNA from 1 species
CCUACGGGUGGCAGCAGUCGAGAAUCAUUCACAAUGGGGGAAACCCUGAUGGUGCGACGCCGCGUGGGGGAAUGAAGGUCUUCGGAUUGUAAACCCCUGUCAUGUGGGAGCAAAUAAAAAAGAUAGUACCACAAGAGGAAGAGAUGGCUAACUCUGUGCCAGCAGCCGCGGUAAUACAGAGGUCUCAAGCGUUGUUCGGAAUCACUGGGCGUAAAGGGUGCGUAGGCGGUUUCGUAAGUCGUGUGUGAAAGGCGCGGGCUCAACCAGCGGACGGCACAUGAUACUGGGAGACUAGAGUAAUGGAGGGGGAAGCGGAAUUCUCGGUGUAGCAGUGAAAUGCGUAGAUAUCGAGAGGAACACUCGUGGCGAAGGCGGGUUCCUGGACAUUAACUGACGCUGAGGCACGAAGGCCAGGGGAGCGAAAGGGAUUAGAUACCCGGGUAGUC